UACGUAGGGCGCAAGCGUUGUCCGGAAUUAUUGGGCGUAAAGAGCUCGUAGGUGGUUUGUCGCGUCUGCCGUGAAAGCCCGGGGCUUAACUCCGGGUCUGCGGUGGAUACGGGCAGACUAGAGGCAGGUAGGGGAGAACGGAAUUCCCGGUGUAGCGGUGAAAUGCGUAGAUAUCGAGAGGAACACCUGCGGCGAAGGCGGGUUGCUGGGCUGACACUGACGCUGAAGUGCGAAAGCUAGGGGAGCGAACGGG
rnacentral:rRNA from 1 species